AGUAUUUAUUGUGGACCUUG
rnacentral:miRNA from 1 species